CCUACGGGGUGCUGCAGUGGGAAAUAUUGGACAAUGGGCGAAAGCCUGAUCCAGCCAUGCCGCGUAUGUGAAGAAGGCCUUCGGGUUGUAAAGCACUUUCAGUGGGGAAGAAAGCCUUGGGGCUAAUACCCUCGAGGAAGGACAUCACCCACAGAAGAAGCACCGGCUAACUCCGUGCCAGCAGCCGCGGUAAUACGGAGGGUGCGAGCGUUAAUCGGAAUUACUGGGCGUAAAGCGCGCGUAGGCGGUCUGAUAAGCCGGUUGUGAAAGCCCCGGGCUCAACCUGGGAACGGCAUCCGGAACUGUCAGGCUAGAGUGCAGGAGAGGAAGGUAGAAUUCCCGGUGUAGCGGUGAAAUGCGUAGAGAUCGGGAGGAAUACCAGUGGCGAAGGCGGCCUUCUGGACUGACACUGACGCUGAGGUGCGAAAGCGUGGGUAGCAAACAGGAUUAGAUACCCGAGUAGUC
rnacentral:rRNA from 1 species